rnacentral:rRNA from 1 species
GGUUUACCUGUGUGACUGCGUACCUUUUGUAUAAUGGGUCAGCGACUUAUAUUCUGUAGCAAGGUUAACCGUAUAGGGGAGCCGAAGGGAAACCGAGUCUUAACCGGGCGUUAAGUUGCAGGGUAUAGACCCGAAACCCGGUGAUCUAGCCAUGGGCAGGUUGAAGGUUGGGUAACACUAACUGGAGGACCGAACCGACUAAUGUUGAAAAAUUAGCGGAUGACCUGUGGCUGGGGGUGAAAGGCCAAUCAAACCGGGAGAUAGCUGGUUCUCCCCGAAAGCUAUUUAGGUAGCGCCUCGUGAAUUCAUCUCCGGGGGUAGAGCACUGUUUCGGCUAGGGGGCCAUCCCGGCUUACCAACCCGAUGCAAACUGCGAAUACCGGAGAAUGUUAUCACGGGAGACACACGGCGGGUGCUAACGUCCGUCGUGAAGAGGGAAACAACCCAGACCGCCAGCUAAGGUCCCAAAGUCAUGGUUAAGUGGGAAACGAUGUGGGAAGGCCCAGACAGCCAGGAUGUUGGCUUAGAAGCAGCCAUCAUUUAAAGAAAGCGUAAUAGCUCACUGGUCGAGUCGGCCUGCGCGGAAGAUGUAACGGGGCUAAACCAUGCACCGAAGCUGCGGCAGCGAACGUAUCACUUAAAGCGAUUCAGCGGGUUACGAUUGACGGAGCGAAGCGACGUCAAAGCGUAUACAAAGUCGAGUCGGUUUAAGGAUACGUUCGUUGGGUAGGGGAGCGUUCUGUAAGCCUGUGAAGGUGUGUCGUGAGGCAUGCUGGAGGUAUCAGAAGUGCGAAUGCUGACAUAAGUAACGAUAAAGCGGGUGAAAAGCCCGCUCGCCGGAAGACCAAGGGUUCCUGUCCAACGUUAAUCGGGGCAGGGUGAGUCGACCCCUAAGGCGAGGCCGAAAGGCGUAGUCGAUGGGAAACGGGUUAAUAUUCCCGUACUUGGUGUUACUGCGAAGGGGGGACGGAGAAGGCUAUGUUGGCCGGGCGACGGUUGUCCCGGUUUAAGCGUGUAGGUGUGUGUUCCAGGUAAAUCCGGUUCACUUUAACACUGAGGCGUGA